UACGGAGGGUGCGAGCGUUGUCCGGAAUCACUGGGCGUAAGGGGCGCGUAGGCGGCCUGAUAAGUAGGGGGUGAAAUCCUGCGGCUUAACCGCAGGGCUGCCUUCUAAACUGUCAGGCUAGAGCACGGUAGAGGCAGAUGGAAUUCCCGGUGUAGCGGUGGAAUGCGUAGAGAUCGGGAAGAACAUCAGUGGCGAAGGCGGUCUGCUGGGCCGUUGCUGACGCUGAGGCGCGACAGCGCGGGGAGCAAACAGG
rnacentral:rRNA from 1 species